UAACAUGAUACAGCCAGAAUUACUGACAGCCAAAACGUGUCAACCAAUGUCUUUGUAACAUCUCAAAAGUUUGUGCUGAGACUGAUGGAACCCAUGAAACAUGACAACCAUUACAUGUGAAAUCAAUACUGUCUCAACAAUCUCAGAGAGUGAUCACCUCAAGCAUGUGUUGAGGAAAAACCUUGAAUUCUGAAAGCAAUGAAAUGGUACGGCAAACAAAUGGUACGGCAAAACAAAUGGUACAGCCAAUAAAUUCUCUGCCCCUACUUGUCAGGCAUGUGCUGUGAGUCUGUGGGUUUCCCCCUCGGGCAGGUGCCGAGGAAGCAUCCUCCUAUGCAUGCGGUGGGAGUAUGAGGUACCACUACCAUCUCGGUGUGGUGAUAGAGCCUCCAAGAUGCACUUAUGAAGCACUUUACAGCCUCCUGUGCAGUCCUAAAGAAGUUACUAAAGAAAAGACUCCAAACUUCUGACAAGGACCAGCGCUGAAAGAAUUCAAGUCUCAUCUAAAAGAAAACACAAAAUUCCUGCCAACAACCCUCCACUCCAACUAUCUGUUAUCGCUCACACUGGGAGAGAUCCAUUUGCUGCAGUAUUGAAGCUUUUCUGCAGAGAGUCCAGCUACACAUCAUCCAUUUUCCAAACAACAGUUAUAUGUUCCUGGAAUGCUGUGACCUUUUCAUGCCAAAUCCCAGUGAAGACAACACAACCUGAAAGCUGUCCACUUCAUCCACGGGCCGCUGAGGAACAUGCAGCUAUAACCCUCAAGUCCAUCUAUCCAUCCCUCCAUCCAUUAAUUUACAAAGGAUGUCUUGUACCUACUUGGGAUGCUACCAGGCGCACAAUUGGAUCAUCCUUCCAUUCAUUUCUCAAAGAUGUCUCAUACCUUCCUGGGACGCUGUCAACUAUCCCAGACACAUUUAAACACACCCUGGAUACUUCACCUGGUGUCCAGCAUCAACUGUU